CAGCGACGAAAAGCUUAUCGUUUUUCUUCAUUUUUGGUCCAGUCGCUUUUUUGUCUCUUUACAAUCCUCUGUAUUCAUAUUCCUUUAAGGACGUUUGGCUUUGUAAACCAUUGUUGACAGCAGAGCCUGGCUGGCAGAUCCCUCUGUUGUACACCAUAAGUCCCUUAUCUUCAUUUGUCCUGGGCUGUUGAAUAAGUGACAGUAAUAGACAGAGGCCCAGAGGAGGAAUAUGAAGACGUGCUAUCAAGAGCAGCUGUGGCACAGCAGCUGGUCUGACAGUGUCUAUGUGGCCUGAAUACACAUCUACUCAUCUAAGCUGAGAUCUGGUUUGAGCUUAGCAGUACUGAAUCAGUUCACUCAUGGUACAUCCAGAAGUACAGCAGAUGCCCGCUGGCCCGACAUCACGACGGGUCCUGGAGGACAUGCUGAGAUCCUGCACAGUGGUG